AAAGGACAACAUUAAAUUGCGAAUGCCAAUGACACCCCAAGGUGAAAAAGUUACAAACAUGUCUAGAAUACACGCUGCAGGGGAAGAAGCAACCACAUAAAUGAAACUUCAUAAAGAAUGUAGAAAACAGCCCUGCACCGCUGACAGCACAGAGUGACAUCUAAGGAUUGAACAUGUGGAGCCCGGCAUGCUAGGACCAUUACCAAUCAUUUCUACUGUGUCAUUAUUCAAGGCUGUCUCUAGUUC
rnacentral:lncRNA from 1 species